GUGGGCGAUUGUAUAUCUUGCACAAAUGAAGCCGUUGAUCAAUCCAAUCCUCACGGACUCGGAGUGAUUGUAAAGCUACCGGCGAUGUCAUCAUAUUUUUACCAGAAUAAUAUGUUGUGAGACAGUCGGUAAUGUCUCGUGCUAGGUUGCAAAUCAGGUUGGAAGUAUUCGCUACAAGAUUUGAUAAUUUCAUUUCCUUUGGAACAAAGUUUAUUACUUCUAUACUGUGUGACCCUAUUUCGUAUUGUUGAUUGAUUACUCAACG
rnacentral:misc_RNA from 1 species